rnacentral:rRNA from 1 species
UGGGGAAUCUUGGACAAUGGGGGCAACCCUGAUCCAGCCAUGCCGCGUGGGUGAUGAAGGCCUUAGGGUCGUAAAGCCCUUUCGCCGGGGAAGAUAAUGACGGUACCCGGUAAAGAAGCCCCCGGCUAACUCCGUGCCAGCAGCCGCGGUAAUACGGAGGGGGCUAGCGUUGUUCGGAAUGACUGGGCGUAAAGCGCGCGUAGGCGGAUCAGGAAGUUGGGGGUGAAAUCCCGGGGGCCUCAACCUCGGAAUGGCCUUCAAAACUCCUGGUCUUGAGUUCGAGAGAGGUGAGUGGAAUUCCGAGUGUAGAGGUGAAAUUCGUAGAUAUUCGGAGGAACACCAGUGGCGAAGGCGGCUCACUGGCUCGACACUGACGCUGAGGUGCGAAAGCGUGGGGAGCAAACAGGAUUAGAUACCCCUGGUAGUCCACGCCCGUAAAACGAUGAAUGCCAGACGUCGGGGGGUCUUGCCCUUCGGUGUCACACCUAACGGAUUAAGG